rnacentral:rRNA from 1 species
UACGUAGGGUGCAAGCGUUGCCCGGAUUUAUUGGGCGUAAAGGGCGCGUAGGCGGCUCGGCACGUCCGUUGUGAAAUCGCCCGGCUCAACUGGGCGGGGUCAGCGGAUACGGCCGAGCUUGAGCAAGCUAGGGGGCAAUGGAAUUCCCGGUGUAGUGGUGGAAUGCGUAGAUAUCGGGAGGAACACCUGUGGCGAAGGCGGCUUUCUGGGCCUUACCUGACGCUGAGACGCGAAAGCGUGGGGAGCGAACCGG